AGUUGCCUCAAUAUUAUAUCUUGAAACCCAAGUGAAAGGAAACAAAAAGUUUAAAAUGCAUUUUGAAUUAAGCUGCCCAGUUAUACAAUGUAAUCACCCCCGUUCUUGCAAGUGGAAGAGGGAAGCAGAAAAGGUCAGAGUGAUGUGAUGUGAGGAAAAUUCGGCCAGCUUUUGCUUGCUUUGAAGAUUUGAGAAAGGGGCCACAAGCCAAAGAAUGUGAGUGGCGUUGGCCAAAAAAGAAAAAAAAGAAUGUGAGUGGCCUUUACAAGCUGGAAAAGGUGAGAAAAUUCUUCCCUGUACCCUCCAGAAAGGAAUGCAGCCCUUCUGAUGCUAUGAUUUUAGUCCAUUGUAGCCAGUGUCAGACUUCCACAGAAUCAUAAGAUAAUAAAUUUGGUUUGUU
rnacentral:lncRNA from 1 species